CAAUAGCGUAUAUUUAAGUUGUUGCAGUUAAAAAGCUCGUAGUCGGAUUUUGGCUGAGAACGAUCGGUCCGCCGUUAGGUGUGCACUGAUUAGUCUCAGCUUCCUGGUGAGGAGGUGUGCUUCACGGCCACUUAGUCACCGUGGUUACUUUGAAAAAAUUAGAGUGUUCAAAGCGGGCUUACGCUUGAAUAUAUUAGCAUGGAAUAACACCAUAGGACUCCUGUCCUAUUUCGUUGGUCUCGGGACGGGAGUAAUGAUUAAGAGGAACAGUUGGGGGCAUUCGUAGUUCAUUGUCAGAGGUGAAAUUCUUGGAUUUAUGAAAGACGAACUUCUGCGAAAGCAUUUGCCAAGGAUGUUUUCAUUGA
rnacentral:rRNA from 1 species